CCCCUCUCAGGGUCACACCUGGAGAGUUUCCAGUAUUCUCCCAGUCUUGACUACGGGAGGGAAAGUCAGGCAGAGGCAUAUCCAUUCCAUUCCUAGCUUGGACAGUGGCUAUGAGUGGAAGGCAAUCCUCUGCAAGUCAA